GGCUUUGUGCAGUGGUAGUAUCGUAGCCAAUGAGGUUUAUCCGAGGGGUGAUUAUUGCUAACUGAAAACUUUUCCCAGACAUGAUACCUUUAAUAAUCUAUUGCACCUACCUUACACAGCAUUAAUAACAUCGGUGAGCUAUCACAAAUUCAAAGUGUGCUUAAUGUGUGUAAGAAACAAUAAAAGUUA
ensembl:snRNA LOC120096859 U4 spliceosomal RNA